AUGUCAGGGGACCCUUUCCCCGGCGCGCCGGCGUCGGGUGCCCCACCGGCUCCGUAUGCGCGGCAGCAGAACUACAGCUUCAACGGGCGCGUCCUGCUCAUGGCCGCCUUCCUCCUCUUCGCCCUCACCAUCUUCUUCACCCUCAUCCGCUUCUUGCUGUACGUGCUCGUGGCGCGGUCGGGCGGCCGCCGUCGCCGCGGCAGCUUCACCGCCGGCAUCCUGCGGUCCAUCAACUCGUUCGGCGCAACUAGCGGCCGGCGUGGGCUGGACGCCUCUGCGCUCUCCGCGCUGCCGGUCACCACGUACCGGAAGGAGGGCGCCGCCACCGCCGGGGCUGACUGCGCCGUGUGCCUGUCGGAGCUCGCCGACGGAGAAAAGGUGCGGGAGCUGCCCAACUGCGGGCACUCGUUCCACGUGGAGUGCGUCGACGCGUGGCUGCGCUCCAGGACGACGUACCCGCUCUGCCGCGCCGAGGCUGAGCUGCCCAAGGGGAACGGCAAGGCGGAGGCGGCGGUGCAGUCGUCGUCGUCGUCAUCGUCGUCUGCCAGGGACCCGCCGCAGCAGGCGUUGUUCGGUGCAGGAGGAACCUUGAUCGUGACCGUGCAAGGUGGCUUCCCGGACACCCAAAGGGGCGUGCGCGGGUCAACAUCGGGGUAG
rnacentral:rRNA from 1 species